AUCCAGUUGACGAGUCUCAAAUAGGACGAAACGCAAGUUCUGGAU
rnacentral:hammerhead_ribozyme from 1 species